AGAGAAAGUUCCUUCCACUCUUUGAUGAGUAUUGGCCAAAAAGAGUCCCACCAAAACUGUAACCGAAGGAGGCGUUAAGCCUCCAGAAAAAUCUCAAGGAACCUGUCGUGCAAGCAACAGGCAUAGCUAUUGGAUUGGGCUCUAAAGGAAAGGGUGGAGAUAUUCAACCAGUUAGUGUAAAAGUUGGAGAUAAAGUUCUUCUCCCAGAAUACAGAGGCAUCAAAGUCAGUUUAGAUGACAAGGAUUCUUUCUUCUUUAGAGAUAAUAACAUUCUUGGAAAGUAUUUAGA
rnacentral:lncRNA from 10 species